rnacentral:pre_miRNA from 1 species
ACAUGAAUCCCCUAGGGAUCUUGUUAAAAUGAAGACUCUCACUCAGCAGGUCUGGAGUGGGGCCUGAGAGUCUGCCUUUCUAACAAGCUUCCAGGUGAGGCAGAU